rnacentral:rRNA from 1 species
AAGUCGAGCGAACAGAUGAGGAGCUUGCUCCUCUGACGUUAGCGGCGGACGGGUGAGUAACACGUGGAUAACCUACCUAUAAGACUGGGAUAACUUCGGGAAACCGGAGCUAAUACCGGAUAAUAUAUUGAACCGCAUGGUUCAAUAGUGAAAGACGGUUUUGCUGUCACUUAUAGAUGGAUCCGCGCCGCAUUAGCUAGUUGGUAAGGUAACGGCUUACCAAGGCGACGAUGCGUAGCCGACCUGAGAGGGUGAUCGGCCACACUGGAACUGAGACACGGUCCAGACUCCUACGGGAGGCAGCAGUAGGGAAUCUUCCGCAAUGGGCGAAAGCCUGACGGAGCAACGCCGCGUGAGUGAUGAAGGUCUUCGGAUCGUAAAACUCUGUUAUUAGGGAAGAACAAAUGUGUAAGUAACUAUGCACGUCUUGACGGUACCUAAUCAGAAAGCCGCGGCUAACUACGUGCCAGCAGCCGCGGUAAUACGUAGGUGGCAAGCGUUAUCCGGAAUUAUUGGGCGUAAAGCGCGCGUAGGCGGUUUUUUAAGUCUGAUGUGAAAGCCCACGGCUCAACCGUGGAGGGUCAUUGGAAACUGGAAAACUUGAGUGCAGAAGAGGAAAGUGGAAUUCCAUGUGUAGCGGUGAAAUGCGCAGAGAUAUGGAGGAACACCAGUGGCGAAGGCGACUUUCUGGUCUGUAACUGACGCUGAUGUG